CGGGGUGCACCAGGCGCGAAAACUUUACAGUGCGGGAAACCGUGAUAAGGGGACACCGAGUGCCAGCAUCAUAUGCUGGCUGUCCGGGUGUGUAAAAUACACCCGUUAGCAAGGGCCGGGCAAGACCGGUGCCAGCCGCCGCGGUAACACCGGCGGCCCGAGUGGUGAUCGUGAUUAUUGGGUCUAAAGGGUCCGUAGCCGGUUUGGUCAGUCCUCCGGGAAAUCUGACGGCUCAACCGUUAGGCUUUCGGGGGAUACUGCCAGGCUUGGAACCGGGAGAGGUAAGAGGUACUACAGGGGUAGGAGUGAAAUCUUGUAAUCCCUGUGAGACCACCUGUGGCGAAGGCGUCUUACCAGAACGGGUUCGACGGUGAGGGACGAAAGCUGGGGGCACGAACCGGAUUAGAUACCCGGGUAGUCCCAGCCGUAAACGAUGCUCGCUAGGUGUCAGGCAUGGCGCGACCGUGUCUGGUGCCGCAGGGAAGCCGUGAAGCGAGCCACCUGGGAAGUACGGCCGCAAGGCUGAAACUUAAAGGAAUUGGCGGGGGAGCAC
rnacentral:rRNA from 1 species